rnacentral:rRNA from 1 species
UACGUAGGGUGCGAGCGUUGUCCGGAAUUAUUGGGCGUAAAGGGCUCGUAGGCGGUUUGUCGCGUCGGGAGUGAAAACCAGGUGCUUAACACCUGGCUUGCUUUCGAUACGGGCAGACUAGAGGUAUUCAGGGGAGAACGGAAUUCCUGGUGUAGCGGUGAAAUGCGCAGAUAGUCAGGAGGAACACCGGUGGCGAAGGCGGUUCUCUGGGAAUGACCUGACGCU